GGGAUGAUCUGGAGACAGCUGCCCUCCAGGCCCCCAGCCCCCUCAUCAUCACCUUCAUCUUCCUCUCCAGGACACUGGCCUGAGACUGUCUGCAGUUGCACCGCAGAUCCUCCUGCCCGGCUGGCCCGACCCAAUCUGCAAGUGGCCAACCCAGAGAUUCACUCCUUAUCUAUGAAGAACAUCUGAGCCCCUAGCCCAUCCUGUGGAACACAUGCCAUCCAGGGGAUCAAGGCCCUUUGUUUGGGGUUAAAUGAAGUUUGCCAGGUGGAGGUGAUUAGGGGGAGGACGCUAAGUGAAAAUGCUAUAAAAACUGCAUGCUUUUUACAAAGAGGAAUGGUUCUCCAGUGCAGCCCGCCACCACUGGACUGCCCUGUAUGGAAGUCCCCUUAAUAAACCAUCCGUCUCCUUCA